UUUUACCUAUUAAAAUGGGUGUUAUCAGUCCAUAUUAUGAAAAAUAGCAACACUAUCCAUAUUUGAUAAGCAAAUAAUAUUAUUUUGCGCUAAUAACAACAAUAUAUAUUAAGAAGGUCUACAGCACAUGCCUACAUGUCCCAUUUCUAUUUUUUCUACACCAAUUCAAGCACAUGCUCAAAAGAUUUGUCACUUAUUUGUUCAAUAGUCAUGAUAGAGAUAAGAUUGCCAUGUUUAUUAUAAAUAUACAUGGAAAAUCUUAUUAAUAUUCAUACCAACUUCAAAAUAUAUAUUGUCUAUUAUUUCCUAAUGUUUCUAGAGCCUUUGUCC
rnacentral:lncRNA from 1 species